GGAAUAGUCAUGGAUAGUUUAUUGGAAUACUAUAUUAUAGCCUGAUAAAUUAUAGGUUAAAAUCGGCAAAAAAUUGUCCAUUCCGAUCAGGUGUGAUGAAUCCUUCAUUGCGUGCAAAAAUGGAAGCUUAAAACGCAAUCAGUUAAUAAUAUUUAUCCCAUACCUAAUUUUAAGAAUUUUUUAUCACUGCACAUUUUAUGCCAAAAAUUUCCGAAUGACUAAGAAAAUUUCCGAAUAUUCGGCGACCCCCUCCCCCCCGUCGCCAAAAAAAUUUUGGUCAGUGUACCAUUUUAAGGGUCAAAAACUUUUUCCGGACAUACCAAAAGCAAGAUAUUAACUAAAAAUUGCCUGAAUCUCA